GUCUCAUGGAUAGCUCAGCUGGUUAGAGCAUGGUGCUGAUAACAUCAAAGUUGCAGGUUCAAUCCCCAUAAGAGGCA